rnacentral:lncRNA from 1 species
CUCCUGCUCACUACGGGAUGGAGCACUCCCCCAGACACAAGGAAACUGAGACAUGGAGAGGUGGAGCCACUUCCCAGGGUCACAGGGUGGGUCGUGGUGGAGCCGAAACGACGACCCAGACCUGCCAGGCCCCAGAGUGCUUGCUCUCCCCCCCUACCCUUCCCACAGUCACUUCAUUUUCCAACAGGUGCCCAUGGACCCACAGUGGAAGCGUCCAUAACGCCCAAGGCUGGCUGCCUGCCUGCCAUUCAACCCACCUGCUGGCCUGGAGCAGAGCAGUGGGCGACCAGCCAGGGUGGGAGUCAGCUCUCUGCGGCGACCAAGACAGAACCGGAGCUUGUCCACCAUUGAUGACACCAACCAGCAUUUGGCCAAGCGGGAGCAUCCCCUCCAGAAAUCCCCUCUGGGCCAGGACAGAAGUUCCUGGAAGGCCCUUUCCAUUAGCACAGACAUGCCGGGCAUCGUUCCAGGAGGCUCUGAGACCUGAGCUUUGCAAAGGGGAUGAGCAAUAAAAAU